rnacentral:rRNA from 1 species
GGACGAACGCUGGCGGCGUGCCUAAUACAUGCAAGUCGAACGCACUCUCGUUUAGAUUGAAGGAGCUUGCUCCUGAUUGAUAAACAUUUGAGUGAGUGGCGGACGGGUGAGUAACACGUGGGUAACCUGCCCUAAAGUGGGGGAUAACAUUUGGAAACAGAUGCUAAUACCGCAUAAAACCUAACACCGCAUGGUGUAGGGUUGAAAGAUGGUUUCGGCUAUCACUUUAGGAUGGACCCGCGGUGCAUUAGUUAGUUGGUGAGGUAAAGGCUCACCAAGACCGUGAUGCAUAG